GUUGGGGGUUGCUACGAGACACCUGUGCGCUAUGUUACCAAGACGGUGGACAAAGACAACAUUUGUCCUCAACAGAAUCAGAGCUGACGUCCAGAAGAUCUCCUCUUGUUUCCGCACUGUUAUCGAUAAUCUACAAAAGAACUCACGGACUCGGUCUCGUUUAUGACAUCCACUCUUGAACUCCAACACGUCCACAACACACUCCUUCAGCCGAACUCACACCUCGUUCGUCAACACGCCCUGUGUAGACGACACGAUAGUCCACAGCUAGUUCUCCAAUUCUUUCUUCAGCCAGACACUUGUCAUUCCAAACGCUGUUGUCUCCGUGUUAACAAAGACAGUCCUAUUGAACAUACUGUUUCACAGUUGCCGUCUGAAUGGAGCGUUUCUAUGGGCUCCACUUUCACUCUUGCCAAUGAACACCAGCUUCCAGCACCUUUCAAAGUCAAAGGGACCCCUUCUCUGGGAUCUAACCGGCUGAAUGUGGUACCUGAAUCUCGGAGGACGGAUUAUUGUGAAAUCCAAAAAGGCAUUCACCAUACCACUCCCCAAACCACUCCAAGAGAGCGUUUCAGACAAUUCAAGUCUCCUGGGACCGGCAACAUAGCGAAAAGCUAUCGUGCAAGACUCCAACGACGAAGCUGGCAGUUACCUGAACUGUCUAAAAUAGCAGAGACGCCUCCGAAGCUGAAAGCAAAAAUUCUGUUGGGGCAAUGGCGCACAUCGACCUAACGCAUAGACGUACAAGUAAUAAAUGAUGCAUAGAUGUAUA
rnacentral:misc_RNA from 1 species